UCUUGCGGCCGUCCGGGUCUCUGCCCUUUCCCCUACCCUUUACUUCUAUCUAAUCUAAUCACUGGACGGGCGAUUUCUUCUUCCCCCUAGGGUCUUGUUUAGUCCCAAUUUUUUUUUUUGCAAAAUGGAUCGUUUAUAUUUAACAAAUAUUAUCUAAUCAUAGACUAACUAAAUCUAAAAAAUUCAUCUCGCAAAUUACAGAUAAGUUGUGCAAUUACUUAUUUCUUUUAUCUAUAUUUAAUACUCUCAUACAUGUCUCAUAAGAUUCGAUGUGACGAAGAAUCUACACAACUUUACAAACUUUUUUAGAACUAAACAAGGCCUAGGAAGCAAAGCAAAAAAUGUCGUCAAACUGAAUUGCAUUAUGUUUUUCACUCUAAUCGUCCACCUUCUAAUCGUCCAGUAACUAAUUGUGACCAGUCAUCCGACGACCAGAAAACCAAUCGGUGCAGAUAUAGUUUUUAUAGAAUAAUUCUUUAUCCAAUCAUAUUUAUUCUCUCUCCAUUCUCAGCCAAUUAUAUCACUUCAUAUCUUAGAUCUCAUAUAGACAUGGUUUCUAUGAUAGUUUUUAUAAUUUUUACUCUCUCUUUUCAAUAACUAUCUUGCCACAUCAACAAAAUAUUUAGGUGACACUAGAAUUAAUGUUUAUAGAAACUAUGGUAGUUUCUGCAUUGGAGUGCCCUAAUUAGACCAUCCUAAGUGGGGGGUUUCAUAACCUAGUCAAUAGUUUUCAACCCAUGAAACUUUCUCUACUCCCUUAUCACCUCUCUCUUCAUUAAUAUGUUGCUGCCUAUGACACUAUGAUGAAACACCAUGACUGGCCUUAGGCCAUAGCUCCUGAUCGAGGCCAGAAUAAUGACUAGUCACGAUUUAUUGGACGACUUAAUAACACUGGCACAAAUAUUGAGCUGCAACUCUUUUCCUUUUCAAACAUUAUUUUUUCCUGUGCUGUACAUAUGUUUCCUGAUGAUACAGACCAUGUGGGUGCGCCAUGCCAACGAUGGCAAAAAUGAAUGUUUAGUAAAAAUAAAAAAGAAUGAUUACGUUACUGUUACAUUCAGGCCGAAAAGCUCCGGAGCUCAUAAUCUUACUCCUUACGUCAAAAAACUGAAGCCGCCCAAAAGGGAGCAAGUGAAGCCAUGUACUUCAGGUGGAUGCGCUUGCCACGCCAACAAUGCAGCUCGCUCCUUGAACCGUGCUUCAUCGGGGAACUCCCUAACUAGGUCUAAAAAGAGGCCCGCAUUAGCUGGUGCAUGAUGUCUCAACCUCGCCAUUAGUUGGUUCAUCUUCGACAAGGUCACUCGAUAUGGCUGACGGUAUCCUGUGCCGUUUGAGGACCCGGGAUGUGGCAAGCUUUGCGUUCUGGUACUUCAGGACAAUGACUCUUUCAUCGUCCAAGUCAAACCUUAAGUUUUCUUCGGUGCAGCCUUCCACGAGGCUGCACAGGUGCUUCAGGUUUUCAACCUCCACACCAUUUACCUUCUUUACCUGAUCAUGCGAUAUUAGGGCAGCUUGAUUACUCAGGAUAUAUGCCAUUCGGCAGUGGGUAACUGGGAACCAGGGGAUCGUAUAUAUAGUAAAAUAACAUACCUGUAGUUCAGCAAGCCUUUCAUAACCGACAUUGAUAUCAUCCAUUAGAACCUGAAACACAAAUAUUCAGUACAAAGAUAAAUUUAUCUCAAGUUAAUGGAAACAGCAUAUGCAAAAUGUUUCAGAUUGAAUACUGAAAGGGUAAACAAAAAAUGUAUGAGGGUAGCAAAUUAAUGGAAUAAUAGAAAAAUACCUGAGAUAGGAUAACUAAUUGUUCACCAGCCUUCUUUGGAAGCUCUCUUAGUGCCCGUUCACAUAAUCGGCGUGGUGAGGCAUUAUACCAGUCUUCUCCAAAUUCAUGGAGAUAAGGCUGGGUAAAUGGGAUAAAAACAAAACCAGCAAAUAUGUAGUAGCUCGGUAAUUUAUCAAAUUGAUGGACUGGGACUAAAGGUUGCAGCUGCAUAAUAAACAACAGAAAUCCGUAAAAGAUCAGUUCCAACUUCAAAUGUCAAUAAGCUCUAUGGCUAGCAAUAGAUAGAAAUAGUGGGGGGACUAGCCACAGUUUUCUGGGCUCUAUGAAGAGGGAGGAAUAAUGUCUGUUCUGAAAAGAAAAGGACGAAAUCUCCUACUGAUAUAAUCAGUUCACUCUGUUUGUUCAUUUCAUAUUGGGCAGGGCUGCAUAAUCCAGAGAGCUGUAAUGAGCUUUAGCAAGGAGCAGAAGUACUUAAGACUUUGGCACUGUAGUGCCAUCAACUAGACCAGCAGCAAGGAGUCCAGGAGACCCAAAUGAUCCAAGAUGGUGUGAUCAGUCGAAGUCUUGAAGAUUGCGACUGUAACACAAAUCCUGUUGGAUCUCGCCAAUGAUGUUGCCAUUUUUCACUCGUGAUGUCAUGUGGGGGCGCCAUUACUCCCGCAGGCAGCACAAAACCAGGGGCAGUGAUGGCGCCAGCAAGGCUUAGGCACAUGGUGAUCAUGCCCAAAUGGCACCCAGCAACAGAUCAGGGAUAUCAGCAUGCAAGGGAAGGCUAAGUUUAGGGGCUUUAUGGCUUUCAAUUCCUGUUAAUUAGUGGCCUCAGCGCCUAUUUAUAUGGGCUGUACUCAGACCUCAAGAAUCAAGCAAUUUCCCUAAUCUACCUAUGCUAUCUUAAUCUCACCUAUUCACCAUUGAGCGUUCUGGGAAGAAACCCAGCGCCAGUACCAACUCCGGCUACGAACUCCAUAGCUGUGGUCCAGCAACCUUGAGCAUCAACGCCCUUGACACAUGACAUCUUUGUUCUAAUUUGUAUUUAGUUCUGUGUGGCUCUAACUUCUUUCUGUCAUUGUGUUAUUAAAGGUCUAAACUCUGUAACAUGGUUCACGGGUGACUGGUUUAAGCUCAAGCCCUGGGUGCUUGAGUUUAAUCAGGUAUGGUAUUAGGUAAGUAGUGGUAAACAGGUGAAACUUUGUCAUUUAGUUACUCUAUAAGUAAUGGAAUUCGGGUUCACCCGCUAUGGGAAAAAAUGAUGUGCGCAAAGAGAAGGGCCGUGAGAGCUGUGUAGAAUACAAUUUGGUCCAAUUUUGUGUACUACUACGACCUACAUAAGAGAUGACUUCAUCUCUGCACCCUUUCAACUACUUAGAUAGGCCAACAUGGGUCCAAAAAGUUCCAUU
rnacentral:lncRNA from 1 species